rnacentral:tRNA from 1 species
GCUGGAGUGGCUUAGUCGACAGAGCAUCUGACUUAAGCUCAGGUCAUGAUCUCAUGGCUUGUGAGUUGGAGCUCCACCUCAGGCU